AGUGGCGAACGGGGUAGUAAUGCGUAGGUGACGUGCCCUGUGGUCGGGGAUAGCUUAGGGAAACUUAAGGUAAUACUCGAUGAUCCCGGAAUGUUUGAAGACGAUCCGGGCAAAGGUGUGAUUCCAUCACAGGAGCGGCUUGCGUGGUAUUAGCUAGUUGGUGAGGUAACGGCUCACCAAGGCUGCGAUGCCUAGGGGAUGUUAGCGCAUGAUCCCCACCACUGGGACUGAGAUACUGCCCAGACACCUACGGGUGGCUGCAGUCGAGAAUCUUCGGCAAUGGGCGAAAGCCUGACCGAGCGACGCCGCGUGUGGGAUGAAGGCCCUUGGGUUGUAAACCACUGUCAGAGGGGAUGAAAUGCAUGGGAGCAAUCUCCUGUGUUUGACAUAGCCUCAGAGGAAGCACGGGCUAAGUUCGUGCCAGCAGCCGCGGUAAGACGAACUGUGCAAACGUUAUUCGGAAUCACUGGGCUUAAAGGGUGCGUAGGCGGUCUCAUAAGUAGGGUGUGAAAGCCCCCGACUCAACCGGGGAACUGCGUCCUAAACUGCGAGGCUUGAGUGAGGUAGGGGUGUGUGGAACUUCCAGUGGAGCGGUGAAAUGUGUUGAUAUUGGAAGGAACGCCGGUGGCGAAAGCGACACACUGGACCUUGUCUGACGCUGAGGCACGAAAGCCAGGGGAGCAAACGGGAUUAGAUACCCCGGUAGUCCUGGCCGUAAACGCUGAGUACUANU
rnacentral:rRNA from 1 species